UCUUGGUCAUUUAGAGGAAGUAAAAGUCGUAACAAGGUUUCCGUAGGUGAACCUGCGGAAGGAUCAUUAACACAAAAAGAAUUAUCAAUUCUUGAAACCCUGCUGCGUACCUGUAACCGUUGCUUCCGUGGUUUGCGUGGGCUCUGGAGCCUGUUCCGCUGAACCAUUGCGGUUUGGUUAUCACGGAAGUUUUACGUCAAACUCUUGAAUUGACACAAAUCUUUGUCUGAGCAUGAGCAUGAGUGACAAGAACAAAAUUUGAAGUUCAAAACUUUCAACAACGGAUCUCUUGGUUCCCGCAUCGAUGAAGAGCGCAGCGAAAUGCGGUAAGUAGUGUGAAUUGCAGAAUUCCGUGAAUCAUCGAGUUCUUGAACGCAUAUUGCGCCUUUUGGCAUUCCAGGAGGCAUGCCUGUUCGAGCGUCAUCAAAAUAUCUCAGGAAUGAAUGCUUCUUUCCUGGUUUUGAUUGCGGAGCAGCAGUAAUUUGUUGUUUCCGAUCGAAUUUCAUUGGCAAGUGCACAUUCUUGUUCAAGUGUAAUAAUAAUGGUUUGCUUUCACUUGAAUAAGAUGCGCAUUUGGCUGGCUCGGUGUAUCCUGUUCAUUGACCUCGGAUCAGGCAAGAGUACCCGCUGAACUU
rnacentral:rRNA from 1 species